CUCCUUUGACGUUAGCGGCGGACGGGUGAGUAACACGUGGGUAACCUACCUAUAAGACUGGGAUAACUUCGGGAAACCGGAGCUAAUACCGGAUAAUAUUUCGAACCGCAUGGUUCGAUAGUGAAAGGUGGUUUUGCUAUCACUUAUAGAUGGACCCGCGCCGUAUUAGCUAGUUGGUAAGGUAACGGCUUACCAGGCGACGAUACGUAGCCGACCUGAGAGGGUGAUCGGCCACACUGGAACUGAGACACGGUCCAGACUCCUACGGGAGGCAGCAGCC
rnacentral:rRNA from 1 species